GAUGAACGCUGGCGGCGUGCCUAAUACAUGCAAGUCGAACGAGGUGCUUUUGUAGCAAUACGAAAGUAUCCUAGUGGCGAACGGGUGAGUAACGCGUUGGUGACCUACCCCAAAGUGUGGGAUAACAGUUCGAAAGAACUGCUAAUACCGCAUGUGGUUAUCGGAUUUAGAAACUGAUAACUAAAGGAGCAAUUCGCUUUGGGAGGGACCUGCGUCCCAUCAGCUAGUUGGUGAGGUAAUGGCUCACCAAGGCUACGACGGGUAGGGGACCUGAGAGGGUGACCCCCCCACAAUGGAACUGAAACACGGUCCAUACACCUACGGGUGGCAGCAGUAGGGAAUAUUGCACAAUGGGCGAAAGCCUGAUGCAGCAACGCCGCGUGUGCGAUGAAGGCCCUCGGGUCGUAAAGCACUUUUCUGAGAGAUGAGCAAGGACAGUAUCUCAGGAAUAAGUCUCGGCUAACUACGUG
rnacentral:rRNA from 1 species